GGGGAUGAACCGGUCUCGACGGAAGUGAGUAGGUACAGGUGGCAGGACCGAGUCGGCCGAAGGCUCGGUAAAAAAUCGGCCAAAACUUAAAAGCCAACAAUAACUUGGCCCUGGCUGCUUAACGCAACCACGUUUACCUUCUGAUACCUAUUAGGAGGGCUAAACGCAAAGAGUAGGUUAGUCAUGACGGUGGCGUUUCGUGCCUGCAUGAUGAAACAACUACGAAACUGGCGCCGGGAUAGUCCUGCUGUGCGGCAGUCCCGGUGCGAGAACACGGCGCAGCUAAUCCUGUAGGAACCUGGCUAAUGCUCUUUCGGACGCGGGUUCGACUCCCGCCAUCUCCACCA
rnacentral:tmRNA from 2 species